rnacentral:rRNA from 1 species
UUGUCUUUUAAAUGAAGACCCGUAUGAAUGGCAAGACGAGGGCUUAACUGUCUCCUUUUUCAAGUCAAUGAAAUUGAUCUUCCCGUGCAGAAGCGGGAAUUUUUCCAUAAGACGAGAAGACCCUAUGGAGCUUUAGACACCAAGACAGACCACGUCAAAACCCCCUAACAAAGGAUCAAACUAACUGAACCCUGUCCUAAUGUCUUUGGUUGGGGCGACCACGGGGAACUACAAAACCCCCGCGUGGAAUGAGAGCACCACCUGCUCUUACAACUGAGAGCUUCCGCUCUAACAAACAGAAUUUCUGACCAACAAGAUCCGGCAACGCCGAUCAACGAACCGAGUUACCCUAGGGAUAACAGCGCAAUCCUCUUUUAGAGCCCAUAUCGACAAGAGGGUUUACGACCUCGAUGUUGGAUCAGGACAUCCUAAUGGUGCAGCCGCUAU